UCAAAGAUUAAGCCAUGCAUGUCUAAGUAUAAGCAAUUAUACCGUGAAACUGCGAAUGGCUCAUUAAAUCAGUUAUCGUUUAUUUGAUAGUACCUUACUACUUGGAUAACCGUGGUAAUUCUAGAGCUAAUACAUGCUGAAAACCCCAACUUCGGGAGGGGUGUAUUUAUUAGAUAAAAAACCAACGCCCUUCGGGGCUUCUUGGUGAUUCAUGAUAACUUCACGGAUCGCAUGGCCUUGCGCCGGCGACGGUUCAUUCAAAUUUCUGCCCUAUCAACUUUCGAUGGUAAGGUAUUGGCUUACCAUGGUUUCAACGGGUAACGGGGAAUUAGGGUUCGAUUCCGGAGAGGGAGCCUGAGAAAUGGCUACCAC
rnacentral:rRNA from 12 species